rnacentral:rRNA from 1 species
AUACGGAGGGGACUAGCGUUGUUCGGAAUUACUGGGCGUAAAGCGUACGUAGGCGGAUCAGAAAGUAUGGGGUGAAAUCCCAGGGCUCAACCCUGGAACUGCUUCAUAAACUCCUGGUCUUGAGUUCGAGAGAGGUGAGUGGAAUUCCGAGUGUAGAGGUGAAAUUCGUAGAUAUUCGGAGGAACACCAGUGGCGAAGGCGGCUCACUGGCUCGAUACUGACGCUGAGGUGCGAAAGCGUGGGGAGCAAACAGGAUUAGAAACCCUAGUAGUCC